rnacentral:rRNA from 1 species
AGAGUUUGAUCCUGGCUCAGAACGAACGCUGGCGGCAGGCUUAACACAUGCAAGUCGAGCGCCCCGCAAGGGGAGCGGCAGACGGGUGAGUAACGCGUGGGAACAUACCCUCCGGUUCGGAAUAGCUCAGGGAAACUUGGAUUAAUACCGGAUACGGCCGAGAGGCGAAAGAUUUAUCGCCGGAGGAUUGGCCCGCGUUCGAUUAGCUAGUUGGUGAGGUAAUGGCUCACCAAGGCGACGAUCGAUAGCUGGUCUGAGAGGAUGAUCAGCCACAUUGGGACUGAGACACGGCCCAAACUCCUACGGGAGGCAGCAGUGGGGAAUAUUGGACAAUGGGCGCAAGCCUGAUCCAGCCAUGCCGCGUGAGUGAUGAAGGCCUUAGGGUUGUAAAGCUCUUUCGCUAGGGACGAUAAUGACGGUACCUAGACAAGAAGCCCCGGCUAACUUCGUGCCAGCAGCCGCGGUAAUACGAAGGGGGCUAGCGUUGUUCGGAAUUACUGGGCGUAAAGCGCGUGUAGGCGGGCUUUUAAGUCAGGGGUGAAAUGCCAAGGCUCAACCUUGGAACUGCCUUUGAUACUGGAAGUCUUGAGUCCGGGAGAGGUGAGUGGAACUGCGAGUGUAGAGGUGAAAUUCGUAGAUAUUCGCAAGAACACCAGUGGCGAAGGCGGCUCACUGGCCCGGAACUGACGCUGAGACGCGAAAGCGUGGGGAGCAAACAGGAUUAGAUACCCCAGUAGUCC